GCCCCGGUGGCUCAGUGGUAACUCUCCCGCCUGCAGUGUGGGAGACCUGGGUUCGGAACCCCACCAUCAGUGCC